ensembl:lncRNA NR2F1-AS1 NR2F1 antisense RNA 1
GGACGGGAGCCGCUCCCGGGCGGCACACAGCCGAGUCCCUCCUCCCCUCCCCGCAGGCAGCCUGUGCCUUUUCUCCAAACGAAGACAGCACUUUGAAAAUUCUUUCAAUGGAUUUUUUUUUCCUUGAAAGAUCGUACUGGGGGAAAAUGAUACUUCUAUUAGUUACAUAUUCUCCAAUCGCAUACUCGCACCCCCCUCGUUUUGAGAUCGCUCCCCUAGGCAGGCUCAGGCGGGCGCGGAGCCGCGCGGAGUGACAAAGCCGCCGCUGCCGCCGCCGGGGGUGGGAGCCGCGCUCGCCCGCCCGCCCCUCGACUCGCGAGGGCGUAAAAGUUUGUCUCAGCUCGAGCAUUCCUAGCGCCAACACGCCCUCAGGUAAAGGUGGAAGUAAAUGGCCACGCUGUAUUGACAGAGCAGGUAGAUGAAACUCAAGAGAAAAGGUGUGGAUAAAUGAAACUAGCCCAUGAUGAACCUGUUUUCUCCGUGACCACAAUAUUAACCAGGAUGAAUGGCGGUGGCAGUGGGCCUGCAUCACAGGUUGCAGCAGAUGUUCUCAAUAUUUCUAUUAAAAUUUCCUUAUUUCCAUAUGCAAGAGGAGCCCCAGAGCUGCAUCCUUAUGGUAGCUACCAUGCCGUGAUGUAAGCUGCCAUUCACUGGGGAGCUUUGGCAAUAGAAUUGGCUAGAUCAGGAAGCCUAUGUCAACUAUGGAACAACAACUUGCAGCUCAUCUCUAUUGAUGCAUCAGGUAUUAUCUACUGCUGUCUGCAGAAUUCAGACAUGGAGGGCUCAAUGGUGUCCCCUGGUCUUUGGAACAUUCUGUAUUUUAAUGAUCAUGAUACACUGCCUCUAGGACUGGGACAGAUAGCCACUGAGUACCUGCUUCAAAUCACCCUGCACGUUUUCUCUUUGGAAAGAUAAGCACUGGAGAACCAUCUCGUUACCUUCAGCAGAAAUGGAAACAAAUCAAGACAUUAAGAAUGCCGCAGUGGACAGCAGUUAUGCAAGGUUCAGCAGAGGAAGUUUUCAAGAUGGUGUGCCUCACUAGCCAGAAAUCAGAAAAGAUCGAAGCUAGCCUUUUCAUCUCAGCUGCUCCUUAAAUCAGUGCAACCCCUCCAAAUUAAUGUGAAUUGAAACUUGCAUUGCUUUUCAACUUAAUUGAAUACUUACUAUAUGUGAACCACUGCACAAAAUAGGGGAAGAAGAUGUGGGAGACAAAGAUGUGGAGCCUGUCUUCAAUAAAUUUACAGUUAGUUUCAGGGUACAUUGUUUUUCUUCUGCUGUUAAUUAGGUGUAUCCCCAAGACAAUAAAUACAUGAAUGGAAAAGUAUAUUCUGUGUUUUAAGUCUCUUUAAUAAAAAACAAAACAAAAUCCAAAAAAACUCCUAACAUGGCAACUCAGGACAUUUUAAUCCUUUUUUUUGUUGUUGGGCUUCUGAUAGGAUCCAUUUUAUUGAUUCCAUAAAUAUUUAGUAGACUUUAGACAUAUUAAUACAUUGUAGUUUGAGUUAAUUUGCAUUAAAUUCUGUUUUUUUCCCCUUAGGUAUAGAUUGUCUGUUGGAAAAAUAUAUUGCUUGUGGAUUUCUUGGGGAGUGGGAAGGUGAAUUAUACCUGUUGUCUCUACAGUCCACUACCUUCCACACCCUAGGGCAGUGGUCCCCAACCUUCUUGGCACCAGGGAUCAGUUUCCUGGAAGACAAUUUUUCUGUGGAUGGUGUGGGGAUGGUUUUGGGAUGGAACUGUUCCACCUCAGAUCAUCAGGCAUUAGUUAGGCUCUCAUAACGAGUGCGCAGCCUAGAUCCCUCACAUGCACAGUUCACAGUAGGGUUUGCGCUGCUAUGAGAAUCUAAGGCUGCCACUGAUCUGACAGGAGGCAGAACUCAGGUGGCAAUGCUUACUGGCCCACUGCUCACCUCUUGCUGUGCGGCCUGGUUCCUAAUAGGCCAUGGACCCCCACAGACGGGUACUAGUCUGCAGCCUGUGGACCCCAGCCCUAGGGGCCUGCCAUUCUGAGUGAGUUAUUAGCAUGAAGAAGAGGAAGAUCUGGAUCAAACGUGGGUGAUGGUACUCAGAGACCCAAGAUAGGAUAGGGAUGGAACAAAAUCCAUCUGGGCAACGGCUCUAUGAAAAUUUGGCUAAGUAAUUAUUUCAGUAUUCAUUGUAUUCAUUGUCCUUCGUGUUCCAUAAGUUAAAUGACUGUCUAAUUUUUCCAAAAAUUUAUUUCUGACUUGAGAAUAAGUGUGUCAUGAUUUUCCCAGUGUAAAGACACUGAUAUAACUGUAGAUACCAGACAUUUUAUGUAGUGUCUAUGACACAUUUUAGUAUGUAUGAGCCAACAAUAGACAUGUCUUUGUCUUGAGGAGUGUCCAUCUGAAUUGAAAAUGUGUCAGCUUUUUUUUAACAUCAUCAACAGACUUCUUAAUUAAGCUGCCAAUACAUACUGCCAAUAGCACUGUGUGCUGUCUGAGAAAUGCAUUGUGUAAGUGCUAUUUCCAUCUUAUUAAAUAAACAAUGUUGCUCUGUAUAAACUGGAUUUAAAGUGUUCUUUGAAUGAGGCAUUAUAUUGCUCCAUAAAUAAUGUGAUGUGAAUUCUCAUAUGAUCCCUUUUAACUUAAUUUCUAAAAAAAUAUUAUUUGCUCCUCAGUAAGGAAUAGCUCUAAUUGGACUGGUAACUUUAGUGAUAUGAUUUGUCUGUAACAGGCUGAAUCGCCCCACUCCCAAACUCCUGGUCGUGAUACUGGAUAUUUGUUAUGCCACUUUUAGUUUGCAUGAGGUAUCUUCCAGGAAGUAUUAGUUAUUAACUUGUGUUCUACUAAACUGUAGAUAUUUAUUUCCUGUUCUGGAAGAUUUCUUGGAGUGUCCAUCUGUGCAUUCCUGGUGCCUAGUGUAGUCUUGCUAAUGGAAUAGCACCUUUAUUGGUGCUACUUAGGGGUUGGUAGCUUACAAUCAAUCUACUUGGAACGUAUCCAAAUAAA